rnacentral:lncRNA from 1 species
UUUCAUCCUUCACAGUGACUCUCUUUCUCCGUUCCUUACCACUGCUUCACCUUCUUUAUUUUGGUUCUCUCGCUCUCUCCACUCCCUCCUCCAGGUAAAUGGACUCGCCCCCUCUCAGUGUUUCUUUCAAAUCUUGUGGGCUAACUCAUUGACCGAUCUUGGUAUAUGGUUGAAAAAGAUAUUUUGAAAUUUGUCUCUCAACUGAUGUAUAUAUCUGAUAUAAGCACCGAUUAACGAUUUAUCCAGAUGUGCUGACUAACAUUUCUUGAACUGUUGACAAUGAAUUGCCCUUAUUUAUUACUUGCACCCAACCCUAUUCUAUACCCGUUUGCACUGCUCGAUGGCAAGCAAUAGCUUUGGCAACGAAGGCUGACAAAACCGCUUCAUUGGUCUCCGCUCAUGAAAAUACCACUUCCCCUUCAGCAUUCCUUGCCAGAAUACCCGAAGCCGAUUGAAAUCUCUAUCCGUCAAAAGCGCUAUCAAAGUUGAUUUUAAUGGUUGAACCCGAUGGUACCCUCUAGCACACCAAUCCAGUUUCUUUUGUAAUUUUCCUCUUUUCUGUCUCAGUAAUCUCUGCAAUGUAACCCCUGAUGAAAUGUGCUAUAUCUCUCCCUGUAGCAAACUUACUCUCAUGGACCCUUAUGUUCCUGCCUCACCAGAUGGCCCACAACGUGCACAAGAAAAGCCAUCGUUGAGUGAUGGAACAUGCAUCAAAUACCCUAGUAAGCCAAUGUCCAAACCCCAAAUCUUGAUUACUUAGGAAAUGCGAAAUUUUAAGAUCUGACCAUACUUCAAUUGUUACAGGGCAUACUCGAAACAAAUGAUCCACUAUUUCCUCCCUUUCACACCGAGGACAGCAUGUUGUGUUCACAAGAUUCUUGUAUUUCAUGUUAGCUAAUGUAGGCAAGUAAUUCCAAGAACUAUUCAAGAUUGUAAUUUUAAUUUUCCCAAGGAACUCCACAGCUUUUUGUAGAAAUCACUAGAAAUUGUUUGUAAAGCAUAAGCACUAAAAACCCAUGAAUUAUCUGUAAUAGUAUAUAAGUACUCCAGAUGGAGAACUCCCCUGAAGACUCACCACCCCACACCAGCCAAUCAUCAUGGGCCUCUUUUGCCAACAGAAUACGGAGGAUUUGGGUUGCAUCUGAUGCCGAGAAGGUAUUAUUAAUUAACUCAUGCUUCCAUUUUCUUUCAUUUGCAUCAAUAAGUUCUAACACCCAUGAAUGUUGCAAAUUAAUAACAGAAGUAGAUAUCUAAAAUUAUCAUUCCCGAGGAUUCAUGCAUCAUGAUAAUUGAGAUUCUAUUUCCCGAACCCACACUUCAGCAUAACCCUUCCUUCAAAAUACCUUUCAUAUCCCAUAUGCUUUUCCAAAUGUACGAUGGACUAUUUCUUAACUGAGCAUUAAUAAAAUCAGACCUAGGGAAAUACUUCACUCUAAGAACCAUGAGCAAGUAACGAAUUCGCUCCACCCCUAUUUAGCCAGCAAAGAUAUAUUAAAUUUGGCCAUGCUCCGAGAUCUCAUUCCCCCUUCCUCUUUUAGCCGACACAUUUAC